rnacentral:tRNA from 1 species
GCGGGCGCUGGGAGAGGAUCGGACGAACCGCGUCCAGGCCGAAGACGAGGGUUCGAUUCCCUUCGCCCGCUCCA